CAGCAAAACACACCAAAAAUGCAGGCCACUGUUCUUGCACCCACCUCAGAGCUGGGGAGAAGGAAACUUAAGCAGGUGCCUUCUCGCCCCACCAUCUCCUGGGAAACUGUUCCUCAUCCUUCAGAUUUUGAUGGAGAUGUCAACUCCUACAGGAAGCCUUCCUUGAUGUCCCAGGACCAGAGGAGGAAGGAAGCAUGGAUGGCACGACUGGCUCUGAGCCACACCGCUGAUCCUUGGAGCACCCUGAGCUCCGAACGUAAGUCAAGCCCUUUACCAGGUGCUGGAGGAGAUGGAGGAGAAAGGCAGGGAUGAAACAGAGGUGAGGUCAGGAGGGUGGAGAUACCCCAG
ensembl:lncRNA